rnacentral:rRNA from 1 species
UACGUAGGUGGCAAGCGUUGUCCGGAUUACUGGGCGUAAAGAGCGCGCAGGCGGUCGUUCAAGUCGCGUGUGAAAGCCCCCGGCUCAACUGGGGAGGGUCACGCGAUACUGCUCGACUCGAAGGCAGGAGAGGGAAGUGGAAUUCCCGGUGUAGUGGUGAAAUGCGUAGAUAUCGGGAGGAACACCAGUGGCGAAGGCGACUUCCUGGACCAAUACUGACGCUCAUGUGCGAAAGCGUGGGGAGCAAACAGG